rnacentral:rRNA from 1 species
AGUGAACGCUGGCGGUAGGCCUAACACAUGCAAGUCGAACGGCAGCACAGUAAGAGCUUGCUCUUACGGGUGGCGAGUGGCGGACGGGUGAGGAAUACAUCGGAAUCUACUUUUUCGUGGGGGAUAACGUAGGGAAACUUACGCUAAUACCGCAUACGACCUACGGGUGAAAGCAGGGGAUCUUCGGACCUUGCGCGAUUGAAUGAGCCGAUGUCGGAUUAGCUAGUUGGCGGGGUAAAGGCCCACCAAGGCGACGAUCCGUAGCUGGUCUGAGAGGAUGAUCAGGCAAACUGGAACUGAGACACGGUCCCGACUCCUACGGGAGGGAGCAGUGGGGAAUAUUGGACAAUGGGCGCAAGCCUGAUCCAGCCAUACCGCGUGGGUGAAGAAGGCCUUCGGGUUGUAAAGCCCUUUUGUUGGGAAAGAAAAGCAGCAGGUUAAUACCCCGCUGUUCUGACGGUACCCAAAGAAUAAGCACCGGCUAACUUCGUG